AUCAUAUCUGUGCCUGGAACUGCAGCUGAGAAGCAGAUGUUUCUAACAGAAGUGAUUUUGCCUGAGGUUCUGAUUUAUUGGUUGCAAACCAAUGUCAAUAUGUGCCGAUAUAUGGCCGAAUCUGUGCUUCUGAAGUGCACAUCUUUCGAAGGAAAGAAAAGUGUUGCAGAGAUCAGAACAGGUGAGGAC